CCCUGCAGCAGCUGCACCAGUGGGGAAACUGAGGCUGGGGAGGCGGAGGGACUGCCAAGGUCACCGGGCGGGCGGGAACGGUGCCGCGAUGGGACACUGCGGGCGGCUGGGCUUAGGCGCGCGCGUCGGGAGGGGCUGAAGUCCAGGCGGAGGCGGGCGCGAGGCUGCGGGACGGGUGGACGUUCCCGCCCAGCGCCUUGGCCACGCUGGCGAGGCCCUUCCUCCCUCGGGGAGCCCGGCUCUGCCGGUCUGUACGAGGAUCUGGUCUAGAGGCUCGGGGGUGCGCGGGGUGGGGAGUCGGGGGCGGGCGGGGAAGGACCUGUCCCCGGGACCCCAGGGUGCCAAAGAAGGAGAAAGGGAACACGAGCUGGGAGGACGCAUCAACAGGUGGCGAAGGGGCCAUAGUGUGCUGGGUGUCAUGGAUAUAGCAGUGAAGGAAGCUGACGAGCAGCUCCCCUUGUGGAGCUCGUGUCCUCAUGAGGACCUUCAGGCUCAAAGAUGUCACCUGAUGUACUCCGGAUCCCAGGCUGUCAAGGACUAACAGUCCAAACGUAGGGCCUGUCCAGGGCCUCUGCUGGUCACCUGCUUGCCCUUUGCUGAUCCACAAAGCUUCCUGAUGAGAUGGAAUCUGUGCUUCCUGAGUGUUGUCAGCCAGGGCAGUGGCCUCUGAUCUCCUGGAAGUGUGCCUUCAGGUCAGGUGGUGAAGUCAUCGGGGCAGGGGGAGGCAAACUGAGAAAGGGAGAGUUCACUGUCGGAAGGACAGAGCUGCUCCGUGGCCCGCAGCAGGACAUCGGUGGGGACCAGCCGUGGGCAUGUGCAUGGCUGCCGUCUUAGUGAUGACAGCAAAACCUCGUGGGUCCAGGUAAUGUAGUCUUGUCACUUUAAGGCACAGAACUCGCAACAGUCCUGCAAGGCAACCAGGUUCGUCCUCGUUUUACAGAUGAGGAAACUGAGGACCAGGGAUGACAUCACUUCGCUGAGGUCUCCAAGAGAGAGCAAGAACCGGCUCUCAGAGUCCAAACCCACUCUACCAUCCACACCUGCCCCGGGGUACCCCCAGGGGUUGGCUGUCUGGUUCAGAAACCUGUGCUCUCCUGGCCUGAUACCCGGGCUGUCUCUGGCAGAUCCAGGAGCACGGUUUUAAGGAUCAGUCUCGGUCCCAGAGCUCCAGAGAGGCAGCUGUGACACAGUGGCAGUGGCAGGAGAGAGGGGCCAUAUUCAAGGGGAGAGAGAGUGGAAAUGGUACAAGACGGACAGAGGGUGAGUGUGGAGCUUCAGGACCCCCGUGACCUGGUGAAGAGAGUCUCGCCGUAAAGCAUGAUGGAUAGACGAAUUCGGUUGAUCGGGGACAUUCCGCUCUGCUGGAGAUGGAGAUCUGACCCAGGAGGGGUCCCACCCGGGACCUGCACUGUUGUGGGUGGGCGAGGUCUGGGGGACUGAGACGGGACCCUGUGUGUUGAUGCCCAAAGGCACAAUAAAGGCAGGUGGAUAUGCACGUCACUGCCUCUGCCUGGGGCAUCCCCGUUUCCCUCCUGAGGUCAACAGAUAGAACCUGGGGUUUGGAGUCGCACAGACCUGGAUUCCAAACCAUGCUCUACCUUCUACUCAUAACACAGCCUUGGCCACACGACUUGCCCAUCUCUAAAAGGGGCAGCAAUGCUUGCCUCCAUAGACUCUGGGGUGAGAAUUAGGAGGCUGCCUGCGGGAAGCGCAGGGUCAGGACCUGAAAGAUGGGUCAGAUUUGAGACUUGGUGAUCACCUACCAGAGGCCUCUACCAAGGAUCACCUCCUCCAGGAAGCCUGCUUGGCAUCCAUCCCACCAGCAAAGCUGCCCUCUUCCCUGGGUCGCAGCUGCCUCCCAUGUGGCUUUUGUCUAGUUCAGCGCUGCCUUUCUGGUGCCUAGUCCUGUCUUGCCACUCGAAAUGGCGGACGUUGAUUGAGCCCUCGAACCUCCCUGACACCCGGCCAGGUGCCUGCGUGUUGCUCCCUCACGUGAUCCUCAGAUCUAGCCUGGUAUCUGCCUUUCAUAGAAGAGUCCUGUCAGCCGUGGAGGCAGCGUGAACUUGAGCCCGAGCAGCCUGCCAGCCCCCAGCCCCCGGCUGCGGCUCCAGGAGAGAGCUCUGUGCCAGCUGGGCCAGCCUCACCCAGUUCUUCAGUCCGGGAGCCUAGCACCGGGCCUGGCACACAGGAGCCUCCGUGAGUGUGCGAGGCUGUUCUGUUGGCACCUGCUGCCUUGGUCAUCACUGACUAGAGGAGGUGGACCAUGGUGCCCAGCCCCCUGAAGGGACAGACCAUGUCUGACAGAAUGUUCCCAGUCUGCAGCAAAAUGGAGAAGAAAAGCCAGGACAUUGCAGAGAGAUUUCUGUAAAGCUUCAUCUAGUUGAUGUCAAGAAAUACCCCUUUUCUCCCUGAGAGCGUCCUUUACG